UUACAGAAGAAUAGUUUAGGCCUUUGACAGUAAAUGUCUUGGUCAUAGAAAAAUUGUCAAUUGUAUUUGUUGGAUAAAUUAUGUAUUGUAAGUAAAAUUUGUUGCUGAACUUAAUAGGCACGAUUAAUCCGCCCUAAAUUAAUCGUGCCAAACACAAAAACGGGGUAUUUAUUUUUGGCACUAUCCACACACAACACUGGAGCGGAGAUAUUGCUGAUGAUAAAAUGAUUUGCUUGUCAUUAUAUGCCCUGAUUGCUUCAGCUUCUCUACUAGCUUGCGUCCCCGUCUGUUUUAAACAGUUUGAAUAUCAAAAGUUUUUGAAGUGCGUCAGGAAAUAGUUGGGAUGGCGAUGAUCUGUAUGUCAAUCCUGGCGGCCGUUUUGGCCGCUGGAUGUAUAUCAUGUAGUCCCCUAUUGAUCGAUAGAGGUAUCGCUAGAUAUAGAAACAGAUCUAACGCAUGUGAUGAUGAUUGUGAAAGGAAAUGUUCUUCAAACCGAGAAUGUUAAAUUCUGUACUAUUUUAAGUUUAAUAAAUUUCAAAAUUGGUAA